UACGGGGGGGGCAAGCGUUGUUCGGAAUUACUGGGCGUAAAGGGCUCGUAGGCGGCCAACUAAGUCAUACGUGAAAUCCCUCGGCUUAACCGGGGAACUGCGUCUGAUACUGGAUGGCUUGAGUUCGGGAGAGGGAUGCGGAAUUCCAGGUGUAGCGGUGAAAUGCGUAGAUAUCUGGAGGAACACCGGUGGCGAAGGCGGCCUUCUGGACAGUGACUGACGCUGAGACGCGAAAGCGUGGGGAGCAAACAGG
rnacentral:rRNA from 1 species